AUUGAACGCUGGCGGCAGGCUUAACACAUGCAAGUCGAGCGGAGAUGAGGUGCUUGCACCUUAUCUUAGCGGCGGACGGGUGAGUAAUGCUUAGGAAUCUGCCUAUUAGUGGGGGACAACAUUCCGAAAGGAAUGCUAAUACCGCAUACGCCCUACGGGGGAAAGCAGGGGAUCUUCGGACCUUGCGCUAAUAGAUGAGCCUAAGUCGGAUUAGCUAGUUGGUGGGGUAAAGGCCUACCAAGGCGACGAUCUGUAGCGGGUCUGAGAGGAUGAUCCGCCACACUGGGACUGAGACACGGCCCAGACUCCUACGGGAGGCAGCAGUGGGGAAUAUUGGACAAUGGGCGGAAGCCUGAUCCGGCCAUGCCGCGUGUGUGAAGAAGGCCUUUUGGUUGUAAAGCACUUUAAGCGAGGAGGAGGCUACCUGGAUUAAUACUCUAGGGUAGUGGACGUUACUCGCAGAAUAAGCACCGGCUAACCCUGUGCCAGCCGCCGCCGUAACAC
rnacentral:rRNA from 1 species